rnacentral:rRNA from 1 species
CAGUAGGGAAUCUUCCACAAUGGGCGCAAGCCUGAUGGAGCAACACCGCGUGAGUGAAGAAGGGUUUCGGCUCGUAAAGCUCUGUUGUUAAAGAAGAACACGUAUGAGAGUAACUGUUCAUACGUUGACGGUAUUUAACCAGAAAGUCACGGCUAACUACGUGCCAGCAGCCGCGGUAAUACGUAGGUGGCAAGCGUUAUCCGGAUUUAUUGGGCGUAAAGAGAGUGCAGGCGGUUUUCUAAGUCUGAUGUGAAAGCCUUCGGCUUAACCGGAGAAGUGCAUCGGAAACUGGAUAACUUGAGUGCAGAAGAGGGUAGUGGAACUCCAUGUGUAGCGGUGGAAUGCGUAGAUAUAUGGAAGAACACCAGUGGCGAAGGCGGCUACCUGGUCUGCAACUGACGCUGAGACUCGAAAGCAUGGGUAGCGAACAGGAUUAGAUACCCUGGUAGUCCAUGCCGUAAACGAUGAGUGCUAGGUGUUGGAGGGUUUCCGCCCUUCAGUGCCGGAGCUAACGCAUUAAGCACUCCGCCUGGG